UACGUAGGGGGCUAGCGUUGUCCGGAAUCAUUGGGCGUAAAGAGCGUGUAGGCGGUCCGGUAAGUCCGCUGUGAAAGUCGGGGGCUCAACCCUCGAAUGCCGGUGGAUACUGUCGGGCUAGAGUGCGGAAGAGGCGAGUGGAAUUCCUGGUGUAGCGGUGAAAUGCGCAGAUAUCAGGAAGAACACCCGUGGCUAAGGCGGCUCUCUAGUACGGUACUGACGCUGAGACGCGAAAGCGUGGGGAGCGAACAGG
rnacentral:rRNA from 1 species